rnacentral:rRNA from 1 species
GGAUAACUCCGGGAAACCGGAGCUAAUACCGGAUAGUUCCUUGAACCGCAUGGUUCAAGGAUGAAAGACGGUUUCGGCUGUCACUUACAGAUGGACCCGCGGCGCAUUAGCUAGUUGGUGGGGUAAUGGCUCACCAAGGCGACGAUGCGUAGCCGACCUGAGAGGGUGAUCGGCCACACUGGGACUGAGACACGGCCCAGACUCCUACGGGAGGCAGCAGUAGGGAAUCUUCCGCAAUGGACGAAAGUCUGACGGAGCAACGCCGCGUGAGUGAUGAAGGUUUUCGGAUCGUAAAGCUCUGUUGUUAGGGAAGAACAAGUGCGAGAGUAACUGCUCGCACCUUGACGGUACCUAACCAGAAAGCCACGGCUAACUACGUGCCAGCAGCCGCGGUAAUACGUAGGUGGCAAGCGUUGUCCGGAAUUAUUGGGCGUAAAGGGCUCGCAGGCGGUUUCUUAAGUCUGAUGUGAAAGCCCCCGGCUCAACCGGGGAGGGUCAUUGGAAACUGGGAAACUUGAGUGCAGAAGAGGAGAGUGGAAUUCCACGUGUAGCGGUGAAAUGCGUAGAGAUGUGGAGGAACACCAGUGGCGAAGGCGACUCUCUGGUCUGUAACUGACGCUGAGGAGCGAAAGCGUGGGGAGCGAACAGGAUUAGAUACCCUGGUAGUCCACGCCGUAAACGAUGAGUGCUAAGUGUUAGGGGGUUUCCGCCCCUUAGUGCUGCAGCUAACGCAUUAAGCACUCCGCCUGGGGAGUACGGUCGCAAGACUGAAACUCAAAGGAAUUGACGGGGGCCCGCACAAGCGGUGGAGCAUGUGGUUUAAUUCGAAGCAACGCGAAGAACCUUACCAGGUCUUGACAUCCUCUGACAACCCUAGAGAUAGGGCUUUCCCUUCGGGGACAGAGUGACAGGUGGUGCAUGGUUGUCGUCA